UACGGGGGGGGCAAGCGUUGUUCGGAAUUACUGGGCGUAAAGGGCUCGUAGGCGGCCAACUAAGUCAGACGUGAAAUCCCUCGGCUUAACCGGGGAACUGCGUCUGAUACUGGAUGGCUUGAGUUUGGGAGAGGGAUGCGGAAUUCCAGGUGUAGCGGUGAAAUGCGUAGAUAUCUGGUGGAACACCGGUGGCGAAGGCGGCAUCCUGGACCAACACUGACGCUGAGGAGCGAAAGCCAGGGGAGCAAACGGG
rnacentral:rRNA from 1 species